GCCGGAGUGGUGGAAUUGGUAGACACAAGGGACUUAAAAUCCCUCGCAAUUUUAUUGCGUGCCGGUUCAAGUCCGGCCUCUGGUACCA
rnacentral:tRNA from 1 species